rnacentral:rRNA from 1 species
UACGAGAGGCCCAAACGUUAUUCGGAAUCACUGGGCUUAAAGAGUUCGUAGGCGGCGCGGAAAGUGGGGUGUGAAAGCCCUCGGCUCAACCGAGGAACUGCAUUCCAAACUCCCGCGCUUGAGGAGGAUAGAGGUGAGCAGAACAGAUGGUGGAGCGGUGAAAUGCGUUGAUAUCAUCUGGAAUACCGGAGGCGAAGGCGGCUCACUGGGUCCUUUCUGACGCUGAGGAACGAAAGCUAGGGGAGCAAACGGG